rfam:Pichia sorbitophila strain CBS 7064 chromosome L complete sequence.
UUAUCUGAUGAAAAACCUUCACAGACCUGUACUGAUCUUUUCAAGACAUGCAGAAAAACGUUAUUGCCUAUAUUUCUGAAA